rnacentral:rRNA from 1 species
UACGGGGGGUGCGAGCGUUGUCCGGAAUCACUGGGCGUAAAGGGCGCGUAGGUGGUUUGAUAAGGGUGUGGUGAAAGUCCGGGGCUCAACCCCGGAUCUGCCGUGCCGACUGUCAAACUCGAGGGCUGUAGAGGCAGACGGAAUUCCACGUGUAGCAGUGAAAUGCGUAGAGAUGUGGAGGAAUACCGAUGGCGAAGGCAGCCCCCUGGGCCAAUACUGACGCUCAUGCACGAAAGCGUGGGGAGCAAACAGG